AGAGUUUGAUCCUGGCUCAGGACGAACGCUGGCGGCGUGCCUAAUACAUGCAAGUCGAACGGAUCUUCUCCUUCGGGAGAAGGUUAGUGGCGGACGGGUGAGUAACACGUAGGCAACCUGCCCAUAAGACUGGGAUAACAUUCGGAAACGAAUGCUAAGACCGGAUACGCAAGCUUGGGGCAUCUCGAGCUUGGGAAACA
rnacentral:rRNA from 1 species